GGCAGCAGUGGGGAAUAUUGGACAAUGGGCGAAAGCCUGAUCCAGCCAUGCCGCGUGUGUGAAGAAGGUCUUCGGAUUGUAAAGCACUUUAAGCUGGGAGGAAGGGCAGUAAGUUAAUACCUUGCUGUUUUGACGUUACCGACAGAAUAAGCACCGGCUAACUUCGUGCCAGCAGCCGCG
rnacentral:rRNA from 1 species